rnacentral:rRNA from 1 species
AUUGAACGCUGGCGGCAGGCCUAACACAUGCAAGUCGAGCGAGCGGCGGACGGGUGAGUAAUGUCUGGGAAACUGCCUGAUGGAGGGGGAUAACUACUGGAAACGGUAGCUAAUACCGCAUACCAUCCGAUGUGCCCAGAUGGGAUUAGCUAGUAGGUGGGGUAACGGCUCACCUAGGCGACGAUCCCUAGCUAGUCUGAGAGGAUGAUCAGUCAAACUGGAACUGAGACACGGGCCAGAUGCCUCAGGGAGGGAGCGGUGGGGAAUAUUGGACAAUGGGCGAAAGCCUGAUCCAGCGAUGCGGAGUGUGUGAAGAAGGUUUUCGGAUUGGAAAGCACUUUAAGUUGGGAGGCGUUACCAACAGAAUAAGCAACGGCUAACUUCGUGCCAGCAGCCGCGGUAAUAC